AAUUUUUUUAAAAAAAACACCAAAAACUGUUCUUAAAAAUUGUUCUCAAAAACUGUUUUCCAAAACAGUUUUCAAAAACAGCAACCAAACAGGCCCUAAAUAUUCCAUUCAUAUAUAUAGUCAACUUCUGGAAACUUCCACAACUAAAGUAUAGUGUCCAAGAGAGCACCUUGAUGAUGCCGUCAGCCUUACACCCUAAAGGUCUUCUUCCACAUAUACAAAUUUCCAUUUUCCAUUUUUUUUUUCAAUUGCACGGAUGGAGCUAAAUCAUUUUUGAGAGACAAGCGUCUAAAAAUGUACAACAAGGCAGUUCUGACUUCUGAGUAGCAUGGGAUGAAGUAGCUGCAGAUUACAUAAGAGCAUAAAUAUUAGAAAUAGAGAGAUGCCAUCAAAUUGUAUGUCUUUUAUUCAAAAUGAUUAAGCUCCGCCGUUU
rnacentral:lncRNA from 1 species